GGUGGAGAAGGCGCCCCCGUGUGGGGUGCUGACUGUAGCCGGGUUAAGAAGCGCCGGCUAACUACGUGCCAGCAGCCGCGGUAAUACGUAGGGCGCGAGCGUUGUCCGGAAUUAUUGGGCGUAAAGAGCUCGUAGGCGGCUGGUCGCGUCUGUCGUGAAAUCCUCUGGCUUAACUGGGGGCUUGCGGUGGGUACGGGCCGGCUUGAGUGCGGUAGGGGAGACUGGAACUCCUGGUGUAGCGGUGGAAUGCGCAGAUAUCAGGAAGAACACCGGUGGCGAAGGCGGGUCUCUGGGCCGUUACUGACGCUGAGGAGCGAAAGCGUGGGGAGCGAACAGGAUUAGAUACCCUGGUAGUCCACGCCGUAAACGUUGGGCACUAGGUGUGGGGGGCCUUUUCCGGGUUUUCCGCGCCGUAGCUAACGCAUUAAGUGCCCCGCCUGGGGAGUACGGCCGCAAGGCUAAAACUCAAAGGAAUUGACGGGGGCCCGCACAAGCGGCGGAGCAUGUGGAUUAAUUCGAUGCAACGCGAAGAACCUUACCUGGGUUUGACAUGCACCAGACGGUUGUAGAGAUACGUACCUCCCUUUGUGGUUGGUGUGCAGGUGGUGCAUGGUUGUCGUCAGCUCGUGUCGUGAGAUGUUGGGUUAAGUCCC
rnacentral:rRNA from 1 species